GGUUAAGCGACUAAGCGUACACGGUGGAUGCCCUGGCAGUCAGAGGCGAUGAAGGACGUGCUAAUCUGCGAAAAGCGUCGGUAAGGUGAUAUGAACCGUUAUAACCGGCGAUGUCCGAAUGGGGAAACCCAGUGUGAUUCGUCACACUAUCAUUAACUGAAUCCAUAGGUUAAUGAGGCGAACCGGGGGAACUGAAACAUCUAAGUACCCCGAGGAAAAGAAAUCAACCGAGAUUCCCCCAGUAGCGGCGAGCGAACGGGGAGCAGCCCAGAGCCUGAAUCAGUGUGUGUGUUAGUGGAAGCGUCUGGAAAGGCGCGCGAUACAGGGUGACAGCCCCGUACACAAAAAUGCACAUACUGUGAGCUCGAUGAGUAGGGCGGGACACGUGGUAUCCUGUCUGAAUAUGGGGGGACCAUCCUCCAAGGCUAAAUACUCCUGACUGACCGAUAGUGAACCAGUACCGUGAGGGAAAGGCGAAAAGAACCCCGGCGAGGGGAGUGAAAAAGAACCUGAAACCGUGUACGUACAAGCAGUGGGAGCCCUGAUUUAUCAGGGUGACUGCGUACCUUUUGUAUAAUGGGUCAGCGACUUAUAUUCUGUAGCAAGGUUAACCGAAUAGGGGAGCCGGAGGGAAACCGAGUCUUAACUGGGCGUUAAGUUGCAGGGUAUAGACCCGAAACCCGGUGAUCUAGCCAUGGGCAGGUUGAAGGUUGGGUAACACUAACUGGAGGACCGAACCGACUAAUGUUGAAAAAUUAGCGGAUGACUUGUGGCUGGGGGUGAAAGGCCAAUCAAACCGGGAGAUAGCUGGUUCUCCCCGAAAGCUAUUUAGGUAGCGCCUCGUGAAUUCAUCUCCGGGGGUAGAGCACUGUUUCGGCAAGGGGGUCAUCCCGACUUACCAACCCGAUGCAAACUGCGAAUACCGGAGAAUGUUAUCACGGGAGACACACGGCGGGUGCUAACGUCCGUCGUGAAGAGGGAAACAACCCAGACCGCCAGCUAAGGUCCCAAAGUCAUGGUUAAGUGGGAAACGAUGUGGGAAGGCCCAGACAGCCAGGAUGUUGGCUUAGAAGCAGCCAUCAUUUAAAGAAAGCGUAAUAGCUCACUGGUCGAGUCGGCCUGCGCGGAAGAUGUAACGGGGCUAAACCAUGCACCGAAGCUGCGGCAGCGACACUAUGUGUUGUUGGGUAGGGGAGCGUUCUGUAAGCCUGUGAAGGUGUGCUGUGAGGCAUGCUGGAGGUAUCAGAAGUGCGAAUGCUGACAUAAGUAACGAUAAAGCGGGUGAAAAGCCCGCUCGCCGGAAGACCAAGGGUUCCUGUCCAACGUUAAUCGGGGCAGGGUGAGUCGACCCCUAAGGCGAGGCCGAAAGGCGUAGUCGAUGGGAAACAGGUUAAUAUUCCUGUACUUGGUGUUACUGCGAAGGGGGGACGGAGAAGGCUAUGUUGGCCGGGCGACGGUUGUCCCGGUUUAAGCGUGUAGGCUGGUUUUCCAGGCAAAUCCGGAAAAUCAAGGCUGAGGCGUGAUGACGAGGCACUACGGUGCUGAAGCAACAAAUGCCCUGCUUCCAGGAAAAGCCUCUAAGCAUCAGGUAACAUCAAAUCGUACCCCAAACCGACACAGGUGGUCAGGUAGAGAAUACCAAGGCGCUUGAGAGAACUCGGGUGAAGGAACUAGGCAAAAUGGUGCCGUAACUUCGGGAGAAGGCACGCUGAUAUGUAGGUGAAGUCCCUCGCGGAUGGAGCUGAAAUCAGUCGAAGAUACCAGCUGGCUGCAACUGUUUAUUAAAAACACAGCACUGUGCAAACACGAAAGUGGACGUAUACGGUGUGACGCCUGCCCGGUGCCGGAAGGUUAAUUGAUGGGGUCAGCGCAAGCGAAGCUCUUGAUCGAAGCCCCGGUAAACGGCGGCCGUAACUAUAACGGUCCUAAGGUAGCGAAAUUCCUUGUCGGGUAAGUUCCGACCUGCACGAAUGGCGUAAUGAUGGCCAGGCUGUCUCCACCCGAGACUCAGUGAAAUUGAACUCGCUGUGAAGAUGCAGUGUACCCGCGGCAAGACGGAAAGACCCCGUGAACCUUUACUAUAGCUUGACACUGAACACUGGUCCUUGAUGUGUAGGAUAGGUGGGAGGCUUUGAAGUGUGGACGCCAGUCUGCAUGGAGCCGUCCUUGAAAUACCACCCUUUAAUGGCUGGUGUUCUAACGUUGGCCCCUUACCGGGGUUGCGGACAGUGUCUGGUGGGUAGUUUGACUGGGGCGGUCUCCUCCUAAAGAGUAACGGAGGAGCACGAAGGUUGGCUAAUCCUGGUCGGACAUCAGGAGGUUAGUGCAAUGGCAUAAGCCAGCUUGACUGCGAGCGUGACGGCGCGAGCAGGUGCGAAAGCAGGUCAUAGUGAUCCGGUGGUUCUGAAUGGAAGGGCCAUCGCUCAACGGAUAAAAGGUACUCCGGGGAUAACAGGCUGAUACCGCCCAAGAGUUCAUAUCGACGGCGGUGUUUGGCACCUCGAUGUCGGCUCAUCACAUCCUGGGGCUGAAGUAGGUCCCAAGGGUAUGGCUGUUCGCCAUUUAAAGUGGUACGCGAGCUGGGUUUAGAACGUCGUGAGACAGUUCGGUCCCUAUCUGCCGUGGGCGCUGGAGAACUGAGGGGGGCUGCUCCUAGUACGAGAGGACCGGAGUGGACGCAUCACUGGUGUUCGGGUUGUCAUGCCAAUGGCACUGCCCGGUAGCUAAAUGCGGAAGAGAUAAGUGCUGAAAGCAUCUAAGCACGAAACUUGCCCCGAGAUGAGUUCUCCCUGAGACCUGGAGUCUCCUGAAGGAACGUUGAAGACGACGACGUUGAUAGGCCGGGUGUGUAAGCGCAGCGAUGCGUUGAGCUAACCGGUACUAAUGAACCGUGAGGCUUAACCUU
rnacentral:rRNA from 1 species